GGCAUGCUAAUACAUGCAAGUCGAACGAGAUCUUCGGAUCUAGUGGCGCACGCGGUGCGUAACGCGUGGGAAUCUGCCCUUGGGUUCGGAAUAACUUCGGGAAACUGUAAGCUAAUACCGCGAUGAUGACGAAAGUCCAAAGAUUUAUCGCCCAGGGAUGAGCCCGCGUAGGAUUAGCUAGUUGGUGGGGUAAAGGCUCACCAAGGCAACGAUCCUUAGCUGGUCUGAGAGGAUGAUCAGCCACACUGGGACUGAGACACGGCCCAGACUCCUACGGGAGGCAGCAGUAGGGAAUAUUGGACAAUGGGCGAAAGCCUGAUCCAGCAAUGCCGCGUGAGUGAUGAAGGCCUUAGGGUUGUAAAGCUCUUUUACCCGAGAUGAUAAUGACAGUAUCGGGAGAAUAAGCUCCGGCUAACUCCGUGCCAGCAGCCGNGUAAUACGGAGGGAGCUAGCGUUGUUCGGAAUUACUGGG
rnacentral:rRNA from 1 species